rnacentral:lncRNA from 1 species
GGCUUGAAUGGCGUCGGGGUUGGAGGGUUGGAAGGUCGGGAAGUGAAGGACUCGCAGGCAUAUUUAACAACGCAAAGUUGCUAGGAGUUGGUACCAGCGUUUGGGAGGUAGAGGUGGCGCUCAUGCAUAUUUGAGACAACAUCUGGAUGGUUGGGGAGAACGGUGAUGCCACACUCAAUCAGAAACUAUGCUACUGCUGAAGAGGUAUAUUGAGCCCUGCCUGGUUAACCUCCAGUGAGGUUAUUAGAGAAUUGGGAGAGGCUCAAAUCAGCAUCCUGCACCUAGUUAUCAAACCAUUGUGAAGUCUUGAUUCCUGGAUGGCCAGAAAACUUGUCAUUGGUCAAGAGCAACAUUAAGAUCUGCCUGUUACUCAUACUGAUGCUUCCUGCCCAGCAAGUUCAUCAGAGGGCGAGGAUGAAUUACGGUUGCCAUGAAUGUCCUUGUGAGGCAGUUGGGAAGCCUUGGCUGGAUUGUGAAGGAUAUUUGAAAAGUAUUUUAGAGUCCACCAGAUCAUCCAUGUGAGUGACCAUGCAGCAAAAGAAGGAGGGUCCUCUCAGUGAUUAAGGAUUAUGAAGUAUUAAUUCUUCCACUGAUAUCUCAAAAGGUGAUCUGGACAAAGGAACAGGUAUCUCAGACCUCCUGGCGUGGCUACUAACAAGUGGCAUCCAUGUUCUAAGACCUGAAUUUGCUGACCAAUAUCAGCAUCACCAUAAACUACACAAGGAUGAACUCUAGGCUGAUUCCCAGCAAUAUGAAGACACCCUAGCUGGAUGAUCAGUUCCUGUUAAGAAUAUGACCCCUCAAACCUUGAUGGACUGGACCCUGCUUAGUCAUCUAUAGUACCCCAACUGCUGUCUGCCUGCAGGACCCUCUGUAUUGGGUUCACCAUUCCAGAAUAAAGCUGUGUCUGCCAGCCA